rnacentral:lncRNA from 1 species
CCCCUACUUAUUGUACAUUGUCCCAAUGUAAUUAUAUUAAGGAUAAAAAGUAAAAGUAAGUAGGUAAAGGAAGAAAAAUGAACUCCUCAUGUAUUUCAACGUCGUGGAGGGUGGUCUCGUAGGUGUGUGAGAACGUCUGUCACUAAGGUACGUAAAGAGUCGAGCCCUUCCUCGAUUCGGGUUAAUCGAGAUUCGACGGAAGUUGGAGGCUCCGUUCUGUGCUGGUGUCUUCGUCAGAACACUCUAUGCGACCGAUCCGUUCUUGUACCUAGAGGAACAAAAUAAAAAGAAGAAGGGGUACCAACAAGUAACCCCAUAGAAUCCAAGCAGUACGUAUCUAAAGAGUUCGUUUUGUAUGCCAAAUUCAAAGAACUAAAAUUGAUAGCUGAUGGAUUCAAAUUGGAGGCUAAAUGUGUGAUGUAAGUACCCAAAAUUAGUUACCGAUUCGACCGCAAAACAUGCUGGAACUGAAUAGCAAACCAAUAGCCUAAAUUCACCUUCCUACCCGAAUGCAUGCACCAUAGAAAAAAUAAUUCAGUCCUAGUUAAAGAGGCAGAUGCAUCAUUACGUCCAGAAAAGUUGAAACCAAGAAAUCGAUGUAUGUAUCAAAGUGCAGGACUAUGAAUUCCUAUGUCCUUGCAACGUUUCGGAUCGUACGAAAUCUGUCUCAUUUCAGUUAACAAUGCUAAGGCUUCAUUACCAUCAAAGUCAGACGGUAUGUCGAGAAAUGAGUCAUAAUAGUCAUCAGUUGCUAAAUAGUCAUCACUAACGAAUCCCAAAGCAACAUUAAACUCAGAAAUAGACAGAUUAUAAUGCACACCUAGCAAGCGAAAAUUGACAGCAUGAGGCGUAUCUAUGGUGUUAGCAGAAC